rnacentral:tRNA from 1 species
GGUCCUUUGGCCCAAUGGUAAGGCGUCUGACUACGAUAUCAUGUGUAAUCAGGAGAUUCUGGGUUCGACCCCCAGGAGGACCU